rnacentral:rRNA from 1 species
AGUGAACGCUGGCGGUAGGCCUAACACAUGCAAGUCGAACGGCAGCACAGUAAGAGCUUGCUCUUACGGGUGGCGAGUGGCGGCCGGGUGAGGAAUACAUCGGAAUCUACUUUUUCGUGGGGGAUAACGUAGGGAAACUUACGCUAAUACCGCAUACGACCUACGGGUGAAAGCAGGGGAUCUUCGGACCUUGCGCGAUUGAAUGAGCCGAUGUCGGAUUAGCUAGUUGGCGGGGUAAAGGCCCACCAAGGCGACGAUCCGUAGCUGGUCUGAGAGGAUGAUCAGCCACACUGGAACUGAGACACGGUCCAGACUCCUACGGGAGGCAGCAGUGGGGAAUGUUGGACAAUGGGCGCAAGCCUGAUCCAGCCAUACCGCGUGGGUGAAGAAGGCCUUCGGGUUGUAAAGCCCUUUUGUUGGGAAAGAAAAGCAGCAGGUUGAUACCCCGCUGUUCUGACGGUACCCAAAGAAUAAGCACCGGCUAACUUCGUG